UGUUUUCUAGGUCCCACUCUAGACCACUUAAAUCUAAACCAUUCAGGGUGGACUCAAGUGAUUCCAGUGUGCCACCAAGAAAGAGUUGCUGGAGUUGCUCAGAUUGUGGUCUGUGGCCAGCAGCAGCAACGUCUCAGAAUUUAGAACUAUGGACUCUGCCCCACCCCAGAGCUAUUGAAGCAGAAUCUGUGUUUUAACGGGAUCACUAGGUGAUUUGCCUGCACAUGGAAGUUGAGAAGCCCUGCUCUGGCAGGUCCAGACACUUUUGUCACCACCUGACAGUAGCAAGUAUAGCAAGGGCUGUGUCCCACUCAGUGUGUGACCUUGGACGUUUGCUGAACCUGUCUCAACUGUCAAAUAGGGACGAUGAUGGGAAAAAUAUUGGCAGCAGCAGGAACCUUCAUCUGCUCCAUAAAUCAGAGAAGCCAUCACCCAGGCACUCAGAAAGAAAUGGCUAA
rnacentral:lncRNA from 1 species